rnacentral:rRNA from 1 species
GACGAACGCUGGCGGCGUGCUUAACACAUGCAAGUUGAACGGGCGAUAUUGGAAGUUUGCUGAAGAUAUCGUUAGUAGCGGACGGGUGAGUAAUGCAUGAGGACCUGCCUGCCGAGGGGGACAACAGUUGGAAACGGCUGCUAAUACCCCGUACGCCGAGAGGUGAAAGGAAUGGAGACAUUCCGCCGGGAGAGGGACUCAUGUCCUAUCAGCUGGUUGGUGAGGUAACGGCUCACCAAGGCGACGACGGGUAGCCGGCCUGAGAGGGCGACCGGCCACACUGGAACUGAGAGACGGUCCAGACUCCUACGGGAGGCAGCAGUGGGGAAUAUUGGGCAAUGGGGGCAACCCUGACCCAGCGACGCCGCGUGAGGGAAGAAGGCCUUCGGGUCGUAAACCGCUUUUGUACGUGAAGAAGCAGAUGACGGUAGCGUACGAAUAAGUCCCGGCUAACUACGUG